UACAGAGGGUGCAAGCGUUAAUCGGAAUUACUGAGCGUAAAGCGUGCGUAGUCGGUUAUCUAAGUCAGGUGUGAAAUCCCCGGGCUCAACCUGGGAAUUGCAUUUGAUACUGGAUAGCUAGAGUUCGGCAGAGGGAAGUGGAAUUUCUGGUGUAGCGGUGAAAUGCGUAGAUAUCAGAAGGAACAUCAGUGGCGAAAGCGACUUCCUGGACCAGAACUGACGAUCAGGCACGAAAGCGUGGGGAGCAAACAGG
rnacentral:rRNA from 1 species